rnacentral:rRNA from 1 species
GAUGAACGCUGACAGAAUGCUUAACACAUGCAAGUCAACUUGAAUUUGGGUUUUUUAACUUAGAUUUGGGUGGCGGACGGGUGAGUAACGCGUAAAGAACUUGCCUCACAGCUAGGGACAACAUUUGGAAACGAAUGCUAAUACCUGAUAUUAUGAUUUUAAGGCAUCUUAGAAUUAUGAAAGCUAUACGCGCUGUGAGAGAGCUUUGCGUCCCAUUAGCUAGUUGGAGAGGUAACGGCUCACCAAGGCGAUGAUGGGUAGCCGGCCUGAGAGGGUGAACGGCCACAAGGGGACUGAGACACGGCCCUUACUCCUACGGGAGGCAGCAGUGGGGAAUAUUGGACAAUGGACCAAGAGUCUGAUCCAGCAAUUCUGUGUGCACGAUGACGUUUUUCGGAAUGUAAAGUGCUUUCAGUUGGGAAGAAAAAAAUGACGGUACCAACAGAAGAAGUGACGGCUAAAUACGUGCCAGCAGCCGCGGUAAUACGUAUGUCACGAGCGUUAUCCGGAUUUAUUGGGCGUAAAGCGCGUCUAGGUGGUUAUGUAAGUCUGAUGUGAAAAUGCAGGGCUCAACUCUGUAUUGCGUUGGAAACUGUGUAACUAGAGUACUGGAGAGGUAAGCGGAACUACAAGUGUAGAGGUGAAAUUCGUAGAUAUUUGUAGGAAUGCCGAUGGGGAAGCCAGCUUACUGGACAGAUACUGACGCUGAAGCGCGAAAGCGUGGGUAGCAAACAGG